rnacentral:sRNA from 1 species
GGAAGGAUCAUUACAGAAUCGUCAACGGGUUGUUGCUGGUCCUCGAACGGGGACAUGUGCACGCUCUGUUUACACAUCCACUCACACCUGUGCACCCUCCGUAGUUCUGUGGUCUGGGGGACCCUGUCUUCCUGCCGUGGUUCUACGUCUUUACACACACACUGUAAUAAAGUCUUAUGGAAUGUAUGCCGCGUCUAACGCAAUACAAUACAACUUUCAGCAACGGAUCUCUUGGCUCUCGCAUCGAUGAAGAACGCAGCGAAAUGCGAUAAGUAAUGUGAAUUGCAGAAUUCAGUGAAUCAUCGAAUCUUUGAACGCACCUUGCGCCCCUUGGCUAUUCCGAGGGGCAUGCCUGUUUGAGUAUCAUGAACACCUCAACUCUCAUGGUUCGCCGUGAUGAGCUUGGACUCUGGGGGUUUUGCUGGCCUGCGGUCGGCUCCCCUCAAAUGAAUCAGCCUCCCAGUGUUUGGUGGCAUCACGGGUGUGAUAAAUAUCUACGCUCGCGGUUGUCCGCCAGGUAACCUUUGGCGACAAAGGUUCGCUGGAGCUCACAGAUGUCUCUCCUCGGCGAGGACAGCUUUUUGAACGUUCGAUCUCAAAUCAGGUAGGACUACCCGCUGAACUUAAGCAUAUCA